rnacentral:misc_RNA from 1 species
AAGACUAGCUUUAUAUGUGUCCUUACAAGUAGUUCCUUUGGAACACACAGAUAGCAGCAUAUACCACACUUUCAAACGGAUUCCAUCUGAAGUGUCAUGGCCUUCUGAAACGCCUUUAGCUGCUCAUCGAUCAUACAUAUCAUUAUGGAUAUGAACAUUGUAUUAAGAAUUAUGAUUAUGAUGGUGUACUACGGUUACUAUGGUUAUCACUAUAUGAGUCAGCUGCUGGAUUUCAUCGUGAGGAAUUCGAUCCCAGAAUCUGUCUUGAAUAACACCUCAGCUUUGGUCGUGUACCUCCUUCGAAUCUUGAAAGCUGUAUGUUAUUGGUUUGCAUUGACCAGAUGUUUUUUUGUACUGACGGACGAGUAUAUUAAAGAAAACAUUAACCUCAAUCCUGAACCUGAAAUUCGUGAAGUACACUACCCUACAAUGCUUGGUGAUUAGAUGGGAUUCAUUCCAAACUAUCCAGAAUUGGAGAAGGGAGUGGGAGAGAUGAUGUAUUCGGUCCUACGCCUGCGUUCCGACUAUCCGAUCAUACUCCUAUCAAGUUUGAAAUUGCUAAAAAGUUCGUGUGUUUUGUAUUAUUAAGUUGAUUACUAUGAUUUAAAAUUUAUUUUGACUGUGAUAACGAUUGAAAUUGACUGUGAAUAAAAAUUUAGAGUAGGUCUAAUGAUGAUUCAGGGCUUUAUUCAUAAACGAUGCUGAGACUAAAUCUUCGAUUAGCACGAUUAGUAACAAAAACUAGAAUCUAAGAUGACUGACCUAGGACAACAAUCGUACUUUUGCAGUAGGCCUACGAUUCUAGCUAAUCUUAAUUUUAGUCUAAGAUAUGAUAUUUACGGCCCUGAAAUUGCUAUAAGCGUGUACUGUUUUGAGUUGUUGGAAUUUGAGCAUAUCCAAAAAUAUUGUGUCUAUUCCCUGAAAUAUUGAUCCCUUGAAGGCCGGUCUAGAUGCUAAGACCUAUCAACCGAUUUCUUAUAAAUAUAACAAAAACUUGAAUCGUGUGAUAUGGAAAUAGAUAGGGAAUGGAUUCUGAUUUACAAGUCUGGUAUUACAACACAAUAAUUUUCCUAAUCAACUAGAUAUUUUGCGUAGUUAAGGUUGAAAAUCGGACGUUCAGUUCAGCAUCUGUACCAACCUCUAAUUCCAUUCAAAGCAUAUAUAUAUGAACUUUUCCAAUUGAGUUUUUAUCCACUCAAAUAUUUAAACGUUCAGAUGUAAAGGUUUGGUCAAUUUUUAGUUUCGAAAUUGAAGCAUUUCCGGAAUUUCGAUCGAUCAUCAUUCCACGCUUUUGAUGAUUUAGUUCGUUUGUUCCUUAAUUCAGUUGAAUGUUUAAAUCCUUCAAAGCAUAAGUCAGCGUAAGGUACCGUAUCUUGAAUUCAUUUAACGUUACUUUUGUUCCUUAUUAGUAUAUAUUCCGAUUCACUCAUCAAUUAAUUUCAUUUUCUCAUUGCUAAAAAUGUUUAUUUUUUGUAUGUCCAAGAACUUUGUUCGCUCAGUUCAUUUAUUUCCUUUAUAUGUAGUUAAAUGUUUAAAUCGUAAGCGUAAGUCAGUUUCAUAGAUUUAUUUCGCGUUUGUUAUUAUUACGCUUUGUUCUUCAAUGUAGUUAAAUUUUCAAAUUGUUGAAAGCGUUUAUGUCAGACUAACAUUUAAGUAUCUUAGAUUUAUUUCACUUUACUUGGGUUUUGUAUAUGUAUGUUAUUUGUAAGUUUGGAAAUUAGUUCCCUUAGUUCAUUUGUUCCUUAAUGUAGUUAAAUGAUCAAAUCAUUCAAAGCUUCAGUCAAAGUUUUUUUAAUUUGUUUCACGUUACGUGUUUCUUAAUAAAAUAUAUGUUUCGAUUCACUCAUGAAUCCAUUCAUUUGUUUGAAACUUGAAAAAUGUAUAUUAUUUGUAAGACUGAGAACUCAGCCACAACUUUUCUGUUUGUUCCUUAAUGUUCAAAGUCAAAUGUUUAAAACGU